AAGCGUCUGCCACCAUCCGAAAAAACACAGUCUCAUCGUUGCAGACGUUUCGCACACACUUUCCACCAUGGCAUCUAAGCUGAUCCUGGCUAUUGUCCUCCUCUCCGUCCUUUCCUCCGUGUUGUGUGUCGGAGUCGUGAAGGACUUCACAGGGGGAACCUACGAUCUGACCACUGGCCAGUACUCCAGCGCCAUCACGGGACACGUCUACAACCCAGCCGCCGUGGUUGGAGCCGCAUAUCCGUACGUGUACGGUCAUGCACCAGUCUACGGAGGUGUCCUCUACGGCUGAGAUGGCUGAACAACGCUUCUUCGACAAUUUUACCCGGAUCGGACCACAUCGCUCUCCCACCUUGGAAACCAUCGAAUGUCGUCAUCAACUUUCAAUGCAGUAACAGGCUCGAGCACAAUAUAAUAAAACUUGGUCUAAAACAAGCA